rnacentral:rRNA from 1 species
CCUACGGGUGGCAGCAGUGAGGAAUAUUGCUCAAUGGCCGUAAGGCUGACGCAGCCACGCCGCGUGAGGGAUGAAGGUUCUCUGGUUUGUAAACUUCUUUUAUAGGGGAAUAAAGGUAUCCACGUGUGGAUCUUUGCAUGUACCCUAUGAAUAAGCAUCGGCUAACUCCGUUCCAGCAGCCGCGGUAAUACGGAGGAUGCGAGCGUUGUCCGGAUUUAUUGGGUUUAAAGGGUUCGUCGGGGGUGUUUUAAGUCAGGGGUGAAAGUUUGUGGCUCAACCAUAGAAUUGCCGUUGAAACUGGAAGACGUGAGUGUGUUUGAGGAAGGAGGAAUUCGGGGUGUAGGAGUGAAAUGCAUAGAUAUCACGCAGAACUCCGAUUGCGAAGGCGACUUACUAAGACAUAACUGACACUGAGGAACGAAAGCGUGGGGAGCAAACAGGAUUAGAUACCCGUGUAGUC